ensembl:lncRNA
UGAAAGGUGCUGGGAUUUAAUGUGGAAACUGCAGCUCAUCGUUCACACAGGAUAAAACUGUGGCAAAUGAAAGAGCCUUCUCAGAGGGGUCAAAGAUUGCAUUUUUUAGCCUAACAUACCAAUGUCAGCCAAGUGACCAACCUGUGAUCUGCCAUUCAGCACAUUUCCUCUGAAAUAGAAGGAAAAUUAGUUUGCCAACAGACAAGAAGCACGGACAAGAAAACACAGAACCAAAAAGGACUAAAAGGAUUAUGAUCCCUAAGAAAUGAUCUGCCUUUCCUUCAGCACAUAUUCUAUGAACAUGUCGUGCUGACUGCCAGAACUUGUCCAUACUUUGCAGAUAACUUGUCCUUUUUUUAAGCAUGAAAAUGCAUAUUUCCCCCUUGAAAACCUCUAAAGAAUAUAAUAAAUUCUACUGUAGACCAUGGACCAAUGGAGAGCUUAUUGCCGGCCGGCCUGGGCAGUACGACAUAGGAAUGGCAGCGUUCAGUGGGCAAGUUCAUGGCAGAUGGUGACUGGGAAGGAAGGAGCCCAGGUUUAAGCAGCCAUAAAGUAGGCUCCCAUUUAACACCAUUUCCACUGUAAUGUCUUGUUAGGCAUGUCAGGAAUCCACAGAGAAAAAGCCAUCACAGAUGAUGCUAGCUCAUAGGCGGGAUAUCAGCAUGAGCAGCGAGGUCAAGACCCAGACUGCUGCCCAUGGCCUAACACCAUUCACUGUGAAAAACAUCCAGCAUCUGGACACACCAGCAGCUUUCAUCCUGUUGCCAGAGCUGGCAGCUGUUAUCCUGGUUGCCAAUCUUCCUGUCCAGCUGUACAUCCUCCAGCCUGAAAACAUCUUCUUCAGCCUCUCAAGCUCACCGCUCGCACUGGCUAGCGUGUAUGGGCGGAUGGGAGAUUGGGCUGUCAGGCUGUCAACUUCCAUGAGCCCAAGCUCCUCGGUGAAAGGGAGAUGGCCAUUUUCCCAACAACGUCUCCAGCUUCCUUCUUUACAGCCAGUCAAGUCCAAUGACAUCAAAUAUUAAUCUGGCACACAACUUGGGCUGUCCAAAUGCAUUUUAUAACCAACAGCAUAUCAAAUCCUUGGGACCUGAUGACAAUCACUCCUUUGUUGUCACAUCCUUCAGUCACUUUAACCCAAAUUCUCAGCCAAUUCAAAGGAAAGAAUGGUGCUUCAGAGGACUGAUUACAGCAAAAGAGCUUCAAAACAUGAAAGGAGGGAAGGCAGAGCUGCAACUCAUCACAAAAGAUCCUACCAUAAAAUCUAGAGAAUGAACAAGAAGCCUUAGAUGAUCUCACAGCAAGAGGCUCUGUUGUUAUUUUGAGCAGAGGCAGAAUUUCUCUGCAGGGGCAGAAUUUGGAGCAUCCUGGCUCUGGUAUUUGGGCUUGCAGCUCAGAGUUCUCUGUACAAGACUACAGCCAGUGAGAGAAAAUUAAAAAUUGACCAUAAAUUAUUCAAAGGAAGCCAAGAAAUAAAAGAUAGGCUAAAGAAGAAUUCUUUUGAAUAACUUGAACCAAAAUCCUAAGCACAUUAGCUGGAAGAUUCAGAGAAAUAGCAUGAAGGAAAUUUGUUUAUAGUCUUGGAAGAAAAUGUGUGAACUCAGUUUAGUAAUAUACCUGGCACAGCUGAAGAAAGAGGAAGUAUCUACACCGUACUGGCACCACUACUGACCUUAUCAUAUGUGGAAUAGAUGGCACAGGAUCAGGAGAACAGAAACAGAUCCAUAGUCUCUUGGUGGAGAUGAUUUUGCAGGGCUGUGAUCCAAGCCAGAAGGCUGAGCAGGAGUCCACUUUCCAUGCACAAGCUACCACCGCAGAAAUGAUGUGCAAAAUGGCUCUUUUACUCUUCACUCAAGGCUUUUAAGGACAUUUGCAGACCUUGUACGCAGUGGGAAAGAGGCAGAGGAGGAGAGUGACUGGGCAGCCCUCCCUUCUUUCCAAGUGGAAGCGGCCUAGCAGGCUGUUUUUAUCUCCAGGACUCUUCCUGAAGGAUGUGCUGAAUUAAUGCCCCAAGCAGGAGUGCAGCUGAAGGCUCACCGUGCCCUACAGAGAAGUGACAACACAGCUGCGGGUGGCAGGAUCCCUCCCUUGGUCUUUGUGCCCUUCAGUGGUGGACGAAGGCUCCAGCGAGGUGUUUGCAGCCUACAGAGGCCAUGAGCCCGGUGCCUCUGCCUGUUGGUUCACCAAGCGAAGGCAACAGAGUCAAAGUAGCAGAAGGCCUGUGCACGAUGGGGCUGUGAUACUGGCCUGGGUGAGCAGCUAGCACUAAUUUGAGCAGCCCAAAGGUCACGACUAUUUAUGCAGAUAAAAGGUCAGUGGCAAGCUGGCAGGUGGCUGUGGGCUAUCUUGGUACGCGCUGCGCCCCGGGCGCUGAUGUCUGCGUCUGGUUCACAGUUAGUUUGUCUUUCCACAUGGACUUUCAGGCCAGGUUCUGGCUGAAAUAAAACACAACGGGGAAAGAAAUCUCUGGUCGUGUGAGUUGAUGCUGUUGGGAGACAGCUGCAGUUUUUGUGGCUUGGGCUCAUCUGUAGCUAAAUCAAACCUUUGAAUCAUUAUUUAUAAAAGACAGCCAAAUUCUGAACCGUUUGCUCAGUGUUUAGUCAGCUCUUACAUGGACAAACUCCUGUGAAAGCGUGCGUGAUGGCAGAUAAGGGAAAAACUGAAUCAGGUGCCCUGUUGAGAGGCAGCAUGUCUGGCCAGGAACUCCAGCAGCAGUGGGCGUCUGCACUGCAGGUGCCUGGGAAGAAGUCACCUCAGAGGGGCAGGACCUUACAGCACGGCCUGAAUUGCCAGAGCAGGUUCAGGUUAGCUGAAACAACAUCUAGGUGGGCGAAAAAGGGAAG